AAGAACAUAGUCGUAACUUGG
rnacentral:misc_RNA from 1 species